rnacentral:sRNA from 1 species
GAAACGCCUAUCAAGCAGCCACCGGACUGGUGGUGUGAGGCUUGAAGCUGACCGUCGCAAGGCGGUCAUAUC